rnacentral:rRNA from 1 species
GAUUGAACGCUGGCGGCAGGCCUAACACAUGCAAGUCGAGCGGAUGAGAGGAGCUUGCUCCUGGAUUCAGCGGCGGACGGGUGAGUAAUGCCUAGGAAUCUGCCUGGUAGUGGGGGACAACGUUUCGAAAGGAACGCUAAUACCGCAUACGUCCUACGGGAGAAAGCAGGGGACCUUCGGGCCUUGCGCUAUCAGAUGAGCCUAGGUCGGAUUAGCUAGUUGGUGAGGUAAUGGCUCACCAAGGCGACGAUCCGUAACUGGUCUGAGAGGAUGAUCAGUCACACUGGAACUGAGACACGGUCCAGACUCCUACGGGAGGCAGCAGUGGGGAAUAUUGGACAAUGGGCGAAAGCCUGAUCCAGCCAUGCCGCGUGUGUGAAGAAGGUCUUCGGAUUGUAAAGCACUUUAAGUUGGGAGGAAGGGCAGUAAACUUAUACGUUGCUGUUUUGACGU